UGAGUUUAAACUCCUGGGUAUGUUUGACACUGAAGGACAAUAUUCUCCAUGAAUUAGAUGCGAAGCGUCUCUCAAGUGUCUCCAAAACUCCGGCAGGAUGGAGGCGUGUGUGGUAAAGCCAGAAGUCAAGAAGAAACCAAACCCGCCCAAGGCUCCUCCGAAGCCUGCAGAGGUCAAAAGAAAUGAAGCAGAGAGACCAGGUCCUGUGGUUCCUCCACGACCAAGAGAUGAUGAACUGAGUCAAACACAAUAUAGACUACAGAGCUCAGCAGUGGAAAACAAACAGACUGAUGGAAACGCGAAGCAACGAGAGACAAAAGAGAAACUGCCUGAAACUCCCGUCAUUCCACCCAGACCUACAGAAAAGGAACUGAACAAUGCAACCAGAUGCAGUCAGCGCAGGAGGGUCCAGGCUGAGGACAUGGAGAGCUUCAGAGAAACUGUCCAACCAGAAACUGAAGAAGUUCCCAGAGAUGAAGCCGACUUCAAACAGAGUUACAUGAUCCACACCUUUGACGAAGAGGAGAAAACCGACGAGGCCCCAGUCAAACAGGCUCCUGGCAGCAAACCGGGUGUUCUGAAGGGAGUAAUGAAAGGGUUGCAGAUCAAGUCGUCACCAAAGGCCAGCAGAGACCCGAGUCCAGAUUCGAAGGCAGAGGAAGGAGGCUCAGAAAAGGAACAAUCUGCAGAAAAAAACAAGCCAGAGAAAAAUGCAGAACCCAAACAGGACAAAGGAGGUCUGCUCGCUGGAAUGUUCCGAAAAACACCCAAAGAGAAAUUAUCUUCUCCAGCAGUGAUGGUCAGUAAAGCAAACAGUGAUACCGAGCAUGCAGAAGAAGAAGGGAAAACAUCAGAACAGUCCAACGAAAAGGGAGGCUUCUUCUCUGGCAUCCUUAAAAAAUCCAACAAACCAGCAGAUGAGAUGUCUGCACAGGAGACUCUGAGUGCUCAUAGUGAUCUAUCUGCCAGCAGCGACAGUCUGUCUGAAAACAGGGAAAAAGGAAAAAUUUUUGGCGGGAUUUUCAAGAAGUCGCGGAAACCAGCAGAAGCCGCUCAAACCGAUGAGGACCAAGAGUCACUGCAUGGAGAUCUGUCCAGCAGCACUGUUAAUCUGAAUGAAGCUCCAUCGAAGGAGAAAGGUUUUUUCAGCGGCAUCCUGCGCAAAUCUCCUAAGAUUCCUGGAGAGGGGACACCUGGGCAGGAUAAAGAGUUGCAGUGGACUGACCUGUCAGCCAGCAGUGAGAGUCUGUCAGAGAACACCAAAAUAAGGGAGAAGGGGAAUGUUUUCAGUGCGAUGUUUAAGAAAUCUCCAAAACUGUCUGAAGGCUCCCGACUGGAAGAGGUAACAUAUCUACAUACUUACUCUACAGGCCAAAAGUUUGGAAGCUGUUUCAAGUUUCUAUUCACAAAGUCUUUCUUAAAAAGGUCAAAACAAUAAAAAACAGUAUGAAUUCUAUGGAUUUUGAGAUGCAUUUACUGCAAGAUCAGACUUUUGUUUCAUUGAUUUGCGCCAGUUUCCUCAGUUUAUCUUUAGGUAUACA
ensembl:lncRNA